UAACGUGAGGCGGAGCAAACACAAAACACAGUCUCAGUUCAGAUUGUAGGCUGAAACUCGCCUAUAUGAAGUCGGAAUUGCUAGUAAUCGCGGAUCAGCAUGCCGCGGUGAAUACGUUCCCGGGCCUUGUACACACCGCCCGUCACACCAUGAGAGUCGAUAACACCCGAAGCCUGUAGUCUAACAGCAAUGAGGACGCAGUCGAAGGUGGGAUUGAUAAUUAGGGUGAAGUCGUAACAAGGUAAC
rnacentral:rRNA from 1 species